GAGCCGUUAGCUCAGUUGGUAGAGUACUGGAUUUUUAAUCCAGGUGUCCCGGGUUCGAGCCCCGGACGGCUCACCA
rnacentral:tRNA from 1 species